AGCGAACGCUGGCGGCAGGCUUAACACAUGCAAGUCGAGCGGGCGUAGCAAUACGUCAGCGGCAGACGGGUGAGUAACGCGUGGGAACGUACCUUUUGGUUCGGAACAACCCAGGGAAACUUGGGCUAAUACCGGAUAAGCCCUUACGGGGAAAGAUUUAUCGCCGAAAGAUCGGCCCGCGUCUGAUUAGCUAGUUGGUGAGGUAAUGGCUCACCAAGGCGACGAUCAGUAGCUGGUCUGAGAGGAUGAUCAGCCACAUUGGGACUGAGACACGGCCCAAACUCCUACGGGAGGCAGCAGUGGGGAAUAUUGGACAAUGGGCGCAAGCCUGAUCCAGCCAUGCCGCGUGAGUGAUGAAGGCCCUAGGGUUGUAAAGCUCUUUUGUGCGGGAAGAUAAUGACGGUACCGCAAGAAUAAGCCCCGGCUAACUUCGUGCCAGCCGCCGCCGUAACAC
rnacentral:rRNA from 1 species